rnacentral:rRNA from 1 species
AAGCGGUGGAGUAUGUGGUUUAAUUCGAUGCAACGCGAAGAACCUUAUCCUAGUCUUGACAUGCACGGAUCAACCCGGUGAAAGCCGGGCCACGCCUUCGGGUGGAACGUGCACAGGUGCUGCAUGGCUGUCGUCAGCUCGUGUCGUGAGAUGUCGGGUUAAGUCCCUUAACGAGCGAAACCCUUGUCGCUAGUUGCCAGCGAGUCAUGUCGGGGACUCUAGCGAGACCGCCGGUGUUAAACCGGAGGAAGGUGGGGAUG